CGGGAGGAUCCAAGCGUUAUCCGGAUUUAUUGGGUUUAAAGGGUGCGUAGGCGGCCUAUUAAGUCAGGGGUGAAAGACGGUGGCUCAACCAUCGCAGUGCCUUUGAUACUGAUGGGCUUGAAUGCAGCUGAGGUAGGCGGAAUGUGACAAGUAGCGGUGAAGUGCAUAGAUAUGUCACAGAACACCGAUUGCGAAGGCAGCUUACUAAAGUGCAAUUGACGCUGAGGCACGAAAGCGUGGGGAUCAAACAGGAUUAGAUACCCUGGUAGUCCACGCCCUAAACGAUGAAUACUCGAUGUUAGCGAUAUACAGUUAGCGUCUAAGCGAAAGCGUUAAGUAUUCCACCUGGGGAGUACGCCCGCAAGGGUG
rnacentral:rRNA from 1 species